UCGGAGGAUGGAUCCCAUUCAAUAAACCGUCUAUCAACUACACCUCUAACACCUUUCAGCUGAAGUUCCUUAACAAUCCCUUUACCAUUUAAAAACCUAGCAAAGCUAAACGAAACAUCUGCCUUAUCAAUGGAUAACUCAAAUUGAGUAUAGUUUCCCUGACUCAGAGCCUCAGUGUCAGGUUCCUCAUUAGAAUCAUAACGUUUUCGUAAAGCCAUGUACUCUUUUUCAUAAUCAGACUUAUUAUUCGGAUUUUGUGCUCCAAUGCCAUUCAAAGUAUCAGGUCUUCUAAUUACGGAAAUUUUGUUGAAUGUGAUUAAUCCUUUCCUCCAAUUGGGAACAAUUGCGCUUUCAAAGACGAAUUGGAACCCUGUAUUUUUUGUCAUUAACUGACCAAUCCAUCUUCCUAAUAGUUCCUGUGCAGAAACAGUGUUUAAGGUGUACAAUAACAAUGAAAAAAAAGUUGUUGUACCAACUACGAUCCAAACUAUAUGGCUCACAAGCCACCAACUGAAAAAGGCAGUAACAUUAUCCACUGUUAAGGGUUUGUUUUGCUUAAAAAGAAAGCUUUUCAUUUUUUUUAAUACGCGAAAUGGCAUUGCCCUUUUAACGCCGGAAGAUUGAUUUGAUUCAUUUUUGUUGAGAAUCUCAGGGUUUUCAACAUCUCCAGACGAGUAACUUCUAACCAUAGAUAUUUGCUUAAUAAUUACAGGUGUAGUACGGGACAAUAUCCCACUGUUUGAAAUAUUCCUAGCUGCUAGUCUAGGAAGAGUAGGAAAACUCUUGAAGCUGCUAGAUUGCAAAACGGUUUGCUUGAGUAAGGCAUUUUGAGUAGAAGCACGAACAUGAUAAGAAAUUAAAUAGGGCUUACGGGCCUGAACAAUCCUUGCUAUAUUCUUCGCAAGUCGUGAUUCGAGCAUCAACUUAUGAGGUCAAAUAAAUAAUACCUUCUCGAAAAGCACAAUUAGUGUAUAUAAUUACAGUCAAGACAAAUUAUUCUAUAUAUGCUUCUGUUUUAAAGAAAUAAACUGCCUGUAAUGAUAUAUUAUAAAAGUUUCAAUGCCUUUCCUGUAUAUGGUUGUCUGCAGAAAGAAAAUAGGAGAAUAACUAGCAAAGUUUACACUAAAAU